CCUGGGGAUCAGGCCAGUUACUGCCCGAGGCAGAGGGUCUGCGGGCGCACAGAAGCACCCUACAGGCCCCCAGCUCCGAAACACGCACCCCGUGGGGAUCCCGCAGGCGCCCCAAGCCCCGGGGCAGCCCGGGCCCUGCCGGAGCCCAGCGCCGUGCGAGUGUCCCCGAGGGGAAUCCCGGCCGCAGCGCCAGCACCCGCCCAGCUCAGGCGGCCGCACGUCCCACCUCCACGUGUUCCGGCCGCACGUGGCUACUCCUCCCGGGGCCGCCCAUCACGCUUUGCCCCGCCCCCGGCUCCCCAUUGGCUGCACAGCCUCCCCGCGUCACCUGCGCCCCGCCCCCCCAACGGCCCCGUUAUGCCGUCACCGCCCUCUUUCACCCCCCUGCCCAUUGGGGGCGAGGGGAGCGCGGCGGCGUCCCCGCUUCCGGGGGGAACGUCACUGGAGCCCGGUGGGGCGGGGCCUGAGGGGGAGCGAUGAUGUAAUGGGGGCCGGCGACCAAUGGGAGGGGAUGGGGCGGGGCCGCGAGGAAAACAAACCCUGCACGUGGCAGCGCCAGGGAGGGGGACACGUGAGCCAGGACGGAGCCCGGGGCAGGAAGCAGGGGCGGGGAGAGGGGGGGGCGGAGGGCGCCCCCCGGGGGACUCGGAGUCCCUGCGGCAGCGUGACAAGGGGUGGCGCGGGCGACCCCGGGGAGCACAGUCCCCAUCCCCCCCCGGGGCUCCCUGCCCUCCAGCCUGUCUCCCUGCAGGGAGGGGGCGGCAAUGUGGAAAAUGAAGCACACCGAGGGGAAGUGACUCGUCCAACUACUCACAAGCAAAUCAGUAACCGAGCUCAGGAGGGAACCCCAGAGUUCUGGCUCCCAGCCCUGCGCUCAGACUGUCUCUUGAUUACAAAAACACCUGAUCUCAGAAGUCUGUCAGGGUUGUUUCCCCCCACACCUAUUUUUUAAUGUAAAUCUGUUGUUCUGCGUGCCCGAAUCACUGUUGUUUGGUGGAUUAGACCUCUUCCACUCCUGCUCUGCAUCCUACAGCAUACGGUUCUAUCCAUGAUGAUCUGUCCUCAUCAGAGCUGAGGGUCCUGAUGACUGUAGGGAGGCUGCCCAGCCCUGCUCAAGUCAGCUGGAAAACACCUGGCACAGAACCCAUCUUCCAGGCUUGAUCCUAUACUUCAGUUGUAUCUGAUGCCCUCAGCCUGCAUGGAGCCUCACCUGCUUAUGCUCUUCAGCCACGAUGCUUGCCGACUGUGUUGUUCCACUAAACAGAUUCCAGAGUGACAACCAUUUUCCUCAAGCUUUUGAUCACUUCCUUUGGGUUUGGUUUUUAUUUUGUUGUGAUCCUUUAACCAUUGAUGGCAGUUAUUGUACCUUAAGGUUUUGGGGUGUUUUUGCAGUGGGAAAGCACUUUGCAAGCAAGAGUCUGGUUCUCACAUACAAACCAAACCUUUUUUGGAGACUUCUGGAAGCUGAGACAAGCCACAGCUGCAGAACAACAUAAUUGUUAAUGAGCUAAGAAGGGUAAACUACUAAAAGGAACAGAUCCGUGAAGGAGGAGCAAAAUUUGCUGGAGUCACAAGCAGAUUUUGUAUGGUAGGGACUGGCAACUUUUUACAAGCCCCAGGAUGGAACAAUCUGGUUCUGGUCAAAUGCAGGCUGAGUGGCUUUGGCAACUGUCAACAGCAGAGGGCUUCCCCAGCUCCCACUGGAGCCAGGCAGCUGGAAGCUUCUGCUUCUUCUCCCAACCCCUCACUCCUUGGCCAUGGGGCAAGCAGUUUCCAGCUGGUGGGGAUCUAUGCCAGGGCCAGGCACCUGCAAACUGCAUCCAUGCUGCUGCCACUUCUCCCUGCUCCCUCUCCCCAUUCCAUCCCCUGGCUGCAGCAUGGCCACAGCUGGAAGCUGUCCAGCCCCAAUGCAACUCCCCACCUGCUAGAAACUGCACUUAUGCCACAACUGGAGGGGGUAGAAGUGGCAGCAGUGCAGAGGCUGCCUGGCCCUGGCACAGUUCCCCAUGGGUUGGAAGCUGUGCCUGGACCCUAACCAGGGCAUUGUGGGGGGAUGCUGAGAGAAGCAGUGGCAGUAUGGAAGCAGCUCCCAGCUUCUCGGCUCUGGCACAAAUGCAGGGGAAGCCCCUGCUGCUGGCACAUCCCCGAAGCCACCCAGCCCAUGUUGGACUGGGGCUGAGAGGUUGGGGAGAAGUGGCAGAGGUGCAGGCACAGCUAGAAGCUUUCCCAGUCUUGGUACAGCUCCUUCCUGCCUGGCCCUAGUAUAGGUGUAUGGUCACGGACACAGGGCAAAGCCCUCCAACUCAGCAGGCCACAUCCAGCGACUUCUUGGGCUGGAUCAGGCCACAUGUUGUUAACCCCUGUGCUAUGGUGUAUUUCAGGACCUACGGCAGCUAGGAGCACAAAGUAUUAAUAAGAUCAGGAAGUCUGUAUUUCAGACCUGACGUAGUGGAGAGUUGGUUUACUGCGCAUAGGCAGGUAAUGUGCAAGCUUUUGCCCUGCCCAGCUCUUACAUUGUACCUCCAUCUGACCUGACAAUUCCCUCUUGUGUUAUAGGCCUGGGCCUCUCUGCAGCAGAGGAUGCUAAUCGGACUGAAAUGUGGGGGAUUUUUCUGGCACGCGGUAUUCUAGGAAUGAGCCAGCCUGCCCCUUUCCUCUGAACGUGACCUAAUGCCAGUUCUAGAUGCAAAACACAUGUCUGCAGAAGGGUCUGGCCAGUGCAUUAGCCAGUGGCAUGUUUUUGCCCCUCUGUUCUCCUGUAUCAUAUAGGAGAUCACCCAUUUCUCUUCUCUAGUGAUAUGUAUUUUGAAUGUGUGGGGGAGAGGGUACCUCACUCUCCUUAAAAGUCCUAA